GCCACUAUGAUCAGGGGCUAGCGAGAGGAUUACGCAUCCUGUGCCUUCACCUGCAACAGUUCAGUCCAGCGACAAGCAAAGACGUGUCCGUAAUCCAAAAGACUUCAACUACGAAAUUACGCUGUUGUAUGGUCUUGGUUGAACAUGGUCUAGCUGUCAGAAACGUAUAGGUGAAAACAUCGAUCCCUCGGCCACCUCAAAGAUGUUGACAGUUUCUUCCUGUUACAAAUAUGCAUAGGGCUGAGAUUGAGGCUUUUGGAGAAGAUUCGAUAAUACAAAUACAGGAAACUUGCUGUCACAACAAAACUGUGGUAGAGAUAUGCUAAGUUAAGUACAUGAUUGUGGAACUAUGCUGCUUCAACUAAGCUGUCGUCACUGUAUUGUCGACAGUAGGUCCCCGAUACAGGUGCGCCUUGGUGUUGGCCGUUGAAGAUGGAUGACGCACUGAGGCACCUUGGUCAACUUUGAUGUGUCUCAGUUUGACGGUAAGAGGGUUGCUGGGAAAAGGAAACUGACGCCCAAAGCUGUGCCCACAAUGUUUCUUCACUGAAGAGUUCCUGCUCGGAGAAAGCCUCCAACUGACAGAAGUGCCCCGUCAAACCCAGCUCCAUCUGAUCACACCUAUUGUGCCUUCCUUGAACAUGGCCAACUAUCAUCUUGUGAAUUUGAUCUUACACAAGCACUAGAUGAAGAGGUAUCUAGCAGUGAAGCAAUGACUUCCACUGCUUCUUCCUGUGAUGACCCCCUUCAAUCAGAAGUCAGUAGGUUGAAGUGCAAGGUCAAGGAAUUGAAGUCGGAGCUACACAGGACAAAGAAAGAUCAGAAGGCUUUGCUACACCGUAAGAUGAAGCAAGAAGCAACCAUCAGGAAAUUGUUUGGUCAGGAUCAACUGCGUGCUCUUUCUAGAGGAGGGAUGCGUGGAAUUAAUUGGGCAACCUCCACUGUAAAGAAGGCAUUGCGGCUGCGAUUUUCUUGUGGAGCUUCAGGGUACAACCUUCUGUUGCAGCAAGGUUAUCCUCUACCAUCUGUUCGGACACUUCAGAGAAGAAUGGAAUGUGUGACAUUUAUGCCUGGCAUCCUCAGUCAAGUUUUUGGCUAUCUGGGAUUAAAGGUUAGUGAGCUAAGAGAGGAAGAGUGAGUUUGCUGCCUAACCUUGGAUGAAAUGGCAAUAACUCCCACUAUUGAGUAUGAUGCAAGCAGUGGUCAGGUAAUGGGUAAUGUAUCAUUUCCUGAUCAUACUGGCGAUGCAACACAUGGUCUAGUUUUCAUGCUAGCAGGAGUGGCCUUGCGAUGGAACAAACAGUUGCCUUCUAUUUCACUGGCAAUUCUACCGAUGGAACUGUCAUUAGGCCAAUUGUGCUUGAUGUGAUCAAGAGAGCAGCAGAGAUUGGCGUUCAUGUUAUUGCGAUAACCAGUGAUAUGGGGAGUGCCAACAGAGCCAUGUGGAGGAGCUUCAAUCUUUUGACUGGCAAGCACUGCAAGCAGACUGUGAACAAAAUUCCUCACCCUUAAAACCCACAAAGAUGGCUCUACUUCAUUGGCGAUGUGCCACAUGUUAUUAAGAAUCUUAGAUCUCCACUCGUGAAUGGGCAAGUGAUCACUCUACCAGAUAAUGUGGUAUCGGCCAACAACAUGAGUUGUAGCACUGUGAGCCUUACUCCCAUUCAGGAUCUUGCAAUAUUUCAAGAACCUCUAGAUCUGAAAAUUGCCCCCAAGCUGACUCAGGGAACCCUUGUGCCUUCGAACUUUCAAAAGAUGAAAGUGUCUGGUGCUCUAAAUUUUUUCAGCAAUUCUGUUAGUUUGGGCCUACGCUAUGUUUUGAAAGAGGAGAACAGGAGCAGUGACCAUCUUGCCACUGCUUGGUUCAUAGAGACAUGUAAUCACUGGUUUGACUUGAUGGCGAGUAGGCACCCAGUUUUAGCUUUGAGCAAAAGACUUCCUUAAAAGUAUAAGGAGGCUAUCAGGUUUUUGCACAGUGUAGUAGACCUAUUCAAGAACCUGAAGAUUGGAGAGAGGGGGGAUUGGAAACCCGUGCAGACAGGGGUCAUAAUGUCAACCACAUCUAUACUAGAAAUCCAGGAGGAGCUGCUCAAUGAUGGUUUUAAAUCCUUGCUUACUUCUAGGUUUACACAGGGUUGUCUAGAAAACCUUUUUAGUAUGGUAAGGCUGAAGAAUCCCAUUCCAUCCUCGUUGUCUUUCAAGUAUGCCCUGAAAAUAAUAAGCAUUUCCCAAUUCAUGAAGCCACUUGCCACGCAGAGUAGCUAUCAAGAAGAUGAUAGGGACUUUGCCGUUGUCUUUCUUGAUCAGUCAGUACCAUUGCUAAAGGGUGAACCUGAAGUGAAGUUAGUAGAGCUUUUCGGAGGUAAAGGCAAUAGAAAACCUGAACGAGGCUGAGCUAAACCUAGUAGGGUACUGUGUUUAUGGUAUCAAGAAGAAUGAAAGUCUUUGUCCCAAGUGCAUUGGUGAAAUUGUGAGUGCUACCCCUGGGUCCGUGCAGCUGCUCUGACUGAUUUGAAAGAAUACAAGGCUGGAUGUCUUGUGCAUGUAGGGGAUAGGGUAUUUUCCAUGAUGCUACUUAGAAGUUGAGAUCAUGUUUAGAAACAUUAGUGAUAGUGCUAUCAUGGCAGCAAAGCAAUCUGAACAAGCUUCUUCUAGACAAGGCUGAAAAACUCACAGAAACUGUCCAGUUUCUCAAGUGUCAUGAUAUCAAGAGGAAGCUUUGUAGCGAAUACUUGAGGAUCAGGUUGCAAAUAUUUUGCAGAAAGGUGAGAUGUCAGAGGAUGAAAGAAGCGCAGAUGAAGAAGGCUGGACAAGAAUUGGGAAGCAAAAGCAUGACAAUGAGGAAUCUGGUCAAGCAUUUGAAGUGACAGAACCUGGCUAGUGCUCAGCAGUCAAGUGCAUGGAACAGCCUGUGUCAUUUGCUGUUGUUGGUAUAUAGUAUUAACGUUGUAGUGAUGUCAGUCAUGCAUAUAAUGUAGCAAGAUUCAUUGUAGCUUUGUGCUCUUUUUGUUUGUGUGUCUGCUGUGGACUUGUAUACAGAAGCAAAAGGACUGAAACUGUAGUUAGAUUAUUUGGUUAUGUGUACCUCAGAUGCGGCGUACGUACUAUAUUGAUGAUUACCAGCCGUCGAUUUUGUAAGUGGUCAUGUUUGGACAGUGCAGACAAUAUUAUGUACGAGUUUAGAUUUGUGGGCGGUCUGA